GACGAACGCUGGCGGCGUGCUUAACACAUGCAAGUCGAACGGAAAGGCCUUUUCGGAGGUACUCGAGUGGCGAACGGGUGAGUAACACGUGGGUGAUCUGCCCUGCACUCUGGGAUAAGCCUGGGAAACUGGGUCUAAUACCGGAUAGGACCGCACUUUAGUGUGUGUGGUGGAAAGUUUUUUCGGUGUAGGAUGAGCCCGCGGCCUAUCAGCUUGUUGGUGGGGUAAUGGCCUACCAAGGCGGCGACGGGUAGCCGGACUGAGAGGUUGGUCGGCCACAUUGGGACUGAGAUACGGCCCAGACUCCGACGGGAGGCAGCAGUGGGGAAUAUUGCACAAUGGGCGCAAGCCUGAUGCAGCGACGCCGCGGGGGGGAGGACGGCCUUCGGGUUGUAAACUCCUUUCGCCAGGGACGAAGCGCUUUGUGACGGUACCUGGAGAAGAAGCACCGGCUAACUACGUG
rnacentral:rRNA from 1 species